rnacentral:rRNA from 1 species
CAAUAGCGUAUAUUAAAGUUGUUGCAGUUAAAAAGCUCGUAGUUGGAUUUGUGGCGUACGGUGUGUUCCGGGCACUUGUUGUCUGAGUAACCUGCUGUUGCCAUCCUUGGGUGGAACCUGUGUGGCAUUAGGUUGUCGUGCAGGGGAUGCCCAUCAUUUACUGUGAAAAAAUUAGAGUGUUCAAAGCAGGCUUAUGCCGUUGGAUAUAUUAGCAUGGAAUAAUGAGAUAGGACUUUUUUGCUAUUUUGUUGGUUUGCGCAAGAAGGUAAUGAUUAAUAGGGACAGUUGGGGGUAUUCGUAUUCCAUUGUCAGAGGUGAAAUUCUUGGAUUUUUGGAAGACGAACUACUGCGAAAGCAUUUACCAAGGAUGUUUUCAUUAA